rnacentral:tRNA from 1 species
AUUAUCUUGGCAGAUUUAUGCGCCGGAUUUAGAAUCCGUUAAUAUAGUGAUAAGCUAUAGAUAAUA